rnacentral:rRNA from 1 species
AUACGGAGGGUGCAAGCGUUGUUCGGAAUCACUGGGCGUAAAGGGCGCGCAGGCGGUUUGGUAAGUCAGAUGUGAAAGCCCAUGGCUCAACCAUGGAAGUGCAUUUGAAACUGUCAGACUUGAGUACUAGUGGGGAAAGUGGAAUUCCCGGUGUAGAGGUGAAAUUCGUAGAUAUCGGGAGGAAUACCGGUGGCGAAGGCGACUUUCUGGCUAGAUACUGACGCUGAGGCGCGAAAGCGUGGGGAGCAAACAGGAUUAGAAACCCUAGUAGUCC